CACCCCAUAGAUGGGGAACCUGUCUAUUUCGGUUAAAUCGCAUUCUGGACUUGAGACAGAGAGGAUGCGGUUUCCAGUUACCUGGUGGACCUGGAAGGUUGUGUUCCAGAGGAGAGAAGCUGGGUUCCUGAUAGGGACAUAUUGGAUCACUGUCACGCUGUCUCUCUGUUUCUCUGGGUGUCCACUAGUGGGCUCACUUCCCCUUAGGCACUUCACCGUAUGCACUAGAAUUCCACUGUGAUGUGAUGGGUAAACAAAAUGAAACAUUACACUCUCUUCUCAACCAUGCUUGAAAUGUAGAGGCACACCCAGUGGGAAAACGAAACUAUAAUGGGAGAUGGGAAAUAAUCCAGAAAUGUUUGAUACUGCCAUAGCGGAAC